rnacentral:tRNA from 1 species
GUCGGUAACAGCUCAGUGGUAGAGCAAAUGCUUAGCAUGCAUGAAGCCCUGGGUUCACUCCCCAUUACCUCCA